UUACACCAGAACCAUUGAUAUUCAAAUUAUGGAUUUGAAAUAUUAUUCCCCCUUCAGCUUUAGACUACACUGUCGAGUUGUCAUCUGGCUACGGAAGGAGGGAGAAUGUAGAAGAAUUACAGAUGCUGUAGAAUUACAAGGAACCUCUCUUCCAAAGAAGCAGAUGGAGACCUACAGCACACUUCUCCCCCCAGAGACCAGAGCAGUGAAUGGAAGACAAAUGACCUCAGUGCCUGGAGGCAACCGGUCAAGUCAUCUGUCCCCAGCAUUGACCAGAGGAGGAAUGACCACUGGGAGGAUGGCAGAAAGAAGAAAGGCCAUGGUACACCUGCAUCAGCACAACCAGACACCUUCAUCUGCCCCAGCUGCAACAAAACAUGUCUCUCCUGUAUCGGCUUCUACAGCCACAGCAGGCGCUGUAACUCUGCAAUGGUUUGACUUCACUCCCCAAAGGUAAACUCUUCCCGAGACCAUUUCCCAAGACAGAAGGGUGCCAACUGAGGACAAACAAAGCCAACUGAGAAUGCAAGCAAUUCUUCUUGUAUCAGCCACAUGGGUGAUCCCAGCCAACUGAAUCAAUGAUUCCCCUCACUCUGCAUGGAUGAGCACCUUUUUCCUCUUUCAGUGCAACUUCCCCAAAAUAAUCCAUGAAAAUGUUCGUGAAAAGCAGUUCCCCCUUUGGCUCUUCCCUAGCACACUAUGCUGUCCAGGAAGGAUUUUUAGUGAAUCCUGCCAUAGUGCAGGAGACCAGACGUAGGAGACUCUGGACAAUAAAUCAAUAAUGCUUUCUUUGCUGCAGGAACAGAGUUCAUUAUUGAUGGGAAAGAAAGGGGAAAGUAAU
rnacentral:lncRNA from 1 species